rnacentral:tRNA from 2 species
GCCGCCUUAGCUCAGUUGGUUAGAGCACUGGUUUGUGGAACCAGGGGUCCUCCGUUCGAGCCGGAGAGGCGGUACCA